UACGUAGGGGGCAAGCGUUGUCCGGAUUUAUUGGGCGUAAAGAGCGUGUAGGCGGCCAGGUAGGUCAGCUGUGAAAACUCGUGGCUUAACCUCGAGACGCCGGCUGAAACCCUCUGGCUAGAGUCCGGAAGAGGAGAGCGGAAUUCCUGGUGUAGCGGUGAAAUGCGCAGAUAUCAGGAAGAACACCCGUGGCGAAGGCGGUUCUCUGGGACGGUACUGACGCUGAGACGCGAAAGCGUGGGGAGCGAACAGG
rnacentral:rRNA from 1 species